rnacentral:rRNA from 1 species
UACGAAGGGGGCUAGCGUUGCCCGGAAUCACUGGGCGUAAAGCGCACGUAGGCGGACUCUUAAGUCGGUGGUGAAAUCCUGGAGCUCAACUCCAGAACUGCCUUCGAUACUGGGAGUCUCGAGUUCGGGAGAGGUGAGUGGAACUGCGAGUGUAGAGGUGAAAUUCGUAGAUAUUCGCAAGAACACCAGUGGCGAAGGCGGCUCACUGGCCCGAUACUGACGCUGAGGUGCGAAAGCGUGGGGAGCAAACAGG